GGGGCAGGCCGGAUGGCUGCGGGCGCCGCACGGCGUCCGAGGAAAGUCCGGACACCACAGGGCAGGACGCCGGGGAAAUCCCGGGCGGCGAAAGCCGACGGAAAGUGGAACAGAGAGGAGACCGCCCACGGGCGACCGUGGGUAAGGGUGAAACGGUGGGGUAAGAGCCCACCAGCGUCCGUGGUAACACGGGCGGCUCGCUAAACCCCGUUCGGUGCAAGGCGAAACAGGUCCCGCUGACGCGGCCCGCCGAGGGACCGGGUACGCCGCAAGAGCCGUCGGGCAACCGGCGGCCCAGAUGGAUGGCCAUCCUCGACAGAAUCCGGCUUACAGGCCUGCUAAGGGA
rnacentral:RNase_P_RNA from 1 species